AGACACAUUGGUUUUCGCACACUAACUUUAGUUUAAGUGAAUGGAUCUCUAUGAAAUUUUACCACAAGGUUCAAUACCACAAAAGGAAGGUUGGGAUUGAUUUUGGGGGUUAUGGUACCAACAGUGAAGGAAUUAGGGGCCAAAAAGGGGCCAAAAAUAAGCAUUUUUGUAACUUCCAGACAUAACUUGUGUGUUAGUGUAUGGAUCUCUCUGACAUUGUACCACAAGGUUCCAUAUCACAAAAGGAAUGCUGGGAUUGAUUUCGGGGGUAAUUGCCUCAAAAUUGUAGGAAUUAGGGGCCAAAAAAGGGGCAAAAAACAAGCAUUUUUCUAGUUUCAUGACAAUAACUUGUGUGUAAGUGUAUGGAUCUUUCUGAAAUUGUACUACAAGGUUCCAUAUCACAAAGGGAAAGCUGGAAUUGAGUUUGGGGGUAAUUGCCAAAACGUUUAGGAAUUGGGGGCCAAAAAGGGGCCAAAAAUAAGCAUUUUUCUAGUUUCCAGACAAUAACUUGUGUUCAAGUGUAUGGAUCUCUCUGAAAUUGUUCUGCAAGGUACCAUACCACAAAGGGAAGGCUGGGAUUGAUGAUGGGGGUAAUUGCCUCAAUAUUUUAGGAAUAAGGGGCCAAAAAGGGGCAAAAAACAAGCAUUUUUCUAGUUUCAGGACAAUAACUUGUGUGUAACAUGUGUAAGUGUAUGGAUCUUUCUGAAAUUGUACUACAAGGUUCCAUAUCACAAAGGGAAAGCUGGAAUUGAGUUUGGGGGUAAUUGCUCAAAACGUUUAGGAAUAAGGGGCCAAAAAGGGGCCAAAAAAAGCAUUUUUCUAGUUUCAUGACAAUAACUUGUGUUCAAGUGUAUGGAUCUCUCUGAAAUUGUACUGCAAGGUACCAUACCUCAAAGGGAAGGCUAGGAUUGAUUUUGGGGGAAAUUGCCUCAAAAUUUUAGGAAUUAGGGGCCAAAAAGGGGCAAAAAACAAGCAUUUUUCUAGUUUCAGGACAAUAACUUGUGUGUAAGUGUAUGGAUCUUUAUGAAAUUGUACUACAAGGUUCCAUAUCACAAAAGGGAAGCUGGGUUUGAGUUUGGGGGUAAUUGCCCUAAACGUUUAGGAAUUUGGGGCCAAAAAAGGGCCUAAAAACAAGCAUUUUUCUAGUUUCCGGACAAUAACUUGUGUUCAAGUGUAUGGAUCUCUCUGAAAUUGUACUGCAAGGUACCAUACCACAAAGGGAAGGCUGGGAUUGAGUUUGGGGGUAAUUGCCUCAAAAUUUUAGGAAUUAGGGGCCAAAAAGUGGCAAAAAACAAGCAUUUUUCUAGUUUCAGAACAAUAACUUGUGUGUAAGUGUAUGGAUCUUUAUGAAAUUGUACUACAAGGUUCCAUAUCACAAAAGGAAAGGUGGGUUUGAGUUUUGGGGUAAUUGCCCUAACUGUUUAGGAAUUUGGGGCCAAAAAGGGGCAUUAAAACAAGCAUUUUUCUAGUUUCCAGACAAUAACUUGUGUUCAAGUGUAUGGAUCUCUCUGAAAUUGCACUGCAAGGUACCUUACCACAAAGGGAAGGCUGGGAUUGAGUUUGGGGGUAAUUGCCUCAAAAUGUUAGGAAUUAGGGGCAAAAAACAAGCAUUUUUCUAGUUUCAGGACAAUAACUUGUGUGUAAGUGUAUGGAUCUUUAUGAAAUUGUACUACAAGGUUCCAUAUCACAAAGGGAAAGCUGGAAUUGAGUUUGGGGGUAAUUGCCUAAAAAUUUAGGAAUAAGGGGCCAAAAAGGGGCCAAAAAUAGCAUUUUUCUAGUUUCCAGACAAUAACUUGUGUUCAAGUGUAUGGAUCUCUCUGAAAUUGUACUGCAAGGUACCAUACCACAAAGGGAAGGCUGGGAUUGAUUUUGGGGGUAAUUGCCUCGAAAUUUUGGAAUUAGGGGCCAAAAAGGGGCAAAAAACAAGCAUUUUUCUAGUUUCAGGACAAUAACUUGUGUGUUAGUGUAUGGAUCUUUAUGAAAUUGUACUACAAGGUUCCAUAUCACAAAAGGGAAGCUGGGUUUGAGUUUGGGGGUAAUUGCCCUAAACGUUUAGGAAUUUGGGGCCAAAAAAGGGCCUAAAAACAAGCAUUUUUCUAGUUUCCGGACAAUAACUUGUGUUCAAGUGUAUGGAUCUCUCUGAAAUUGUACUGCAAGGUACCAUACCACAAAGGGAAGGCUGGGAUUGAGUUUGGGGGUAAUUGCCUCAAAAUUUUAGGAAUUAGGGGCAAAAAAGGGGCAAAAAACAAGCAUUUUUCUAGUUUCAGGACAAUAACUUGUGUGUAAGUGUAUGGAUCUUUAUGAAAUUGUACUACAAGGUUCCAUAUCACAAAAGGAAAGCUGGGUUUGAGUUUGGGGGUAAUUGCCCAAUACGUUUAGGAAUUUGGGGACAAAAAGUGGCCUAAAAACAAGCAUUUUUC